GAUUUCCCCCGAAGACACCUUCGAUGGAGACUUUUUUUACAGGUCCGGUCUCUAUCGACUCAUUGGACUUCAUUAUGCUCCAGCACCUCCGACAUUGGACAAAUUUCAUCCGUAACAUCAUCUUAAGAAAGGGGAGUCACUUAAUGGGUUUUAGUUUAGCUUAGGAGGUUUUGGAAAUAGUCGUCCUACUCAUGCGAAGAGCGGAUCUGCAGCUUUGAGAGGCAAACCCAAUGCCAUGUCUAGAUCGGAUAUGGCUUCGAUGAUAGUCUCUUAUGACAUUUAUGCGGAGCAUGUGCUUCAAAGAAGGAUGGCCAGCGGGCUGCAUGAUGGCUUUUCAGUGUGGACCAUGAUCUCCACCGCUUGGAGACGACAUCCCUGAGGCCCUCAAUGG
rnacentral:lncRNA from 1 species